GGCGCAUAGCUCAGUUGGUUAGAGCACCACCCUGACAUGGUGGGGGUCGGUGGUUCGACAAAAUUGCCG
rnacentral:tRNA from 1 species